rnacentral:rRNA from 1 species
GAUGAACGCUGGCGGCGUGCUUAACACAUGCAAGUCGAACGGGAAAUAUUUCAUUGAGACUUCGGUGGAUUUGAUCUAUUUCUAGUGGCGGACGGGUGAGUAACGCGUGGGUAACCUGCCUUAUACAGGGGGAUAACAGUCAGAAAUGGCUGCUAAUACCGCAUAAGCGCACAGAGCUGCAUGGCUCAGUGUGAAAAACUCCGGUGGUAUAAGAUGGACCCGCGUUGGAUUAGCUGGUUGGUGGGGUAACGGCCCACCAAGGCGACGAUCCAUAGCCGGCCUGAGAGGGUGAACGGCCACAUUGGGACUGAGACACGGCCCAGACUCCUACGGGAGGCAGCAGUGGGGAAUAUUGCACAAUGGGGGAAACCCUGAUGCAGCGACGCCGCGUGAAGGAAGAAGUAUCUCGGUAUGUAAACUUCUAUCAGCAGGGAAGAUAGUGACGGU